rnacentral:tRNA from 1 species
GAAGGUAUAUCUCAAGUGGUAGAGCGCAUGCUUAGCAUGCACAAGGUCCUGGGUUCAAUCCCCAGUACCUCCA